AAGAAAGUUGAAGCCACCAAUGUAAAUACACAUUAGUUGGCAAGAAUCCAAAGCAAGGAGAGACAAAAACAAUAAACCAAGAUCAAGGAACCAUUAUCUAUUCCCAACAUCAUCUAUUAAAAUAAAACAUACAUACCCUGUCUUAACCAUACAAAAAGAUGUUUAAAGCAAAUACUAAAAACCGGAAGUGGUUGAAUUUAACGUUGGCAAACAAUAAGCUCGUCAGCAUCAACAUCAUUGUUGUCGUCAACACCAGCUGAAGAAGCAUUAUAAACAAUAGCAACAGCGACUAAAAAGUGUAGAUUUCUUAUAAAUAAAGUAUUGAAAUAAAAACUAAACAACUGUGAAAGGUUGCCAUGUUAAGGGGGUAUACUGCAACUGAAUAUAUUGUGGGCAUUCAAAAGCCAAAGGGAAUUUUGCAAAAGAGUUUAAAGAUUCAUAUUUACAAGUUUGUUUACUUACGAAGCAACAGAAUUGAAAACAGUCAAGCUGUAGCUGAAACAAAAAAAAAAACAAUAAAAAAAAUAUAAAGAAAAAAAAUCGGAAAAAGCCAAAGCAUACACAAGAAACCAAUGCAAUACAAUUGCAAUCACAAAAGAAAACAAUAACAUGCUCUACAGCACACAUACCGACAAGCACACGCAUGCAGAA